UACAGAGGGUGCAAGCGUUAAUCGGAAUUACUGGGCGUAAAGCGUGCGUAGACGGUUAUGUAAGUCAGGUGUGAAAGCCCCGGGCUCAACCUGGGAAUGGCAUUUGAGACUGCAUAGCUAGGGUGCGGAAGAGGGAAGCGGAAUUUCCGGUGUAGCGGUGAAAUGCGUAGAUAUCGGGAGGAACACCAGCGGCGAAGGCGGCUUUCUGGACCAAUACUGACGCUGAGACGCGAAAGCGUGGGGAGCAAACAGG
rnacentral:rRNA from 1 species